UAGGGUGGGCGCGCGGUCGCGCCCGGGGGACCUGCCCCCCGGGUGAGGAAAGUCCGGGCACCAUAGGGCGGGGUGCCAGCUAACGGCUGGGCGGGGUAACCCGACGGAAAGUGCCACAGAGAAGAGACCGCCAGCGGCCCCCCAAGGGGGGUGCGGGCAAGGGUGAAACGGUGGGGUAAGAGCCCACCGCCUGGCCUGGCAACAGGCUGGGGCACGGCAAACCCCACCCGGUGCAAGGCUCGGUAGGGAGGAAGGGCUUGCCCGGCCCGCUAGAACCUCCGGGAUGAGCCGCUUGAGGCCACGGGCGACCGUGGUCCCAGAGAGAUGACCGCGGAAACAGAACCCGGCUUACGGCCCACCCUGGGCC
rnacentral:RNase_P_RNA from 1 species